UUAUGUCUUCUCGUUACCUUGAUCUUAACAUGAUCCGGUAAUCUCAAAGUAAACCGGUCUUCUUCCUCUGGUUUAUUCCUCACUAUCGAGUGACCUGUCGUCUUCGAUCUCGAAAAUUUAUCCGGUAAGGACUCCAUCUUUACCUCUUUACUCUGUCUCGAUCGCAAAACCUCGUUUGAUGUUGACGUUUGAUCUUGGUUUCCGUUGCUGUUUUCGUGUAUGACUUCAAUGAUCAGCUCUUUGAUGUUUUCAGACGCGGUUGGAUCUAAGUUCCGGCGACAGACAGGGCAUGUUUUGUUAGAUUCAAGCCAACGGUCGAUGCAUUCUUGAUGAAAAACAUGGUAACAGGUUGUUAAGAGUCGGAGAAGGACGUG
rnacentral:lncRNA from 1 species